UACGGAGGAUGCGAGCGUUAUCCGGAUUUAUUGGGUUUAAAGGGUGCGUAGGCGGUUCGUUAAGUCAGCGGUAAAAUUGCGGGGCUCAACCCCGUCGAGCCGUUGAAACUGGCAGACUUGAGUUGGCGAGAAGUACGCGGAAUGCGCGGUGUAGCGGUGAAAUGCAUAGAUAUCGCGCAGAACUCCGAUUGCGAAAGCGGCUCUCUGGCCUGUAACUGACACUGAGGCUCGAAAGCGUGGGGAGCAAACAGG
rnacentral:rRNA from 1 species